rnacentral:lncRNA from 1 species
GUGCCCUUGAUAACCAGGAUUCUCAGCAUGGGAAAAAAGAUAGGCUUAGAAAGAGUCCGCUGCCCCGGAUUUUACUUUGAAGUAUGAGUAAUCCCAGCAGCUGGAGGCUGAAGCAGGAGGAUGGAGAGUUCAAAGCCAGCCUCAGCGAUUAGUGAGACCCUAGUGAGACUCCCUGUCUCUAAAAAAAUAAAAAGGGCUGGAGAUGUGGCUCAGUGGGUAAGUGCCCCCCGCCUCAAAAAGAAAAAAAAAAGCAAAUGGAAAAAAAAUGUGACUUAAGCAAAACAAGAAUUUUUCACCUGGCAACCUGGAGGCAGGCAGCGCAGGCAGCGCAUCGCAACAGGCCCCUGAGCACAGGACCCGGCCCUCGGUGCUGCCCAGCCUCCUUCACCUGGCUUCUCCCUCAGAGUCUCAGCGUGCUCCAGGCCCAGCCUUCACGGCAGGCCAGUUGGGAGAAGAAUCUCAGCAGCAAGAGCAAGCUCCCGUUCUUUUCUUUUUCUUUUUUUUUUUUUUUUAAUGUGCUGUCCAGCUGCCCACGGCUGCUCUGAAAUUCUGGGUUCAGGCGAUGUUCCAGUCUCAGCUUGUUGAGUAGCUGGGACUACAGGUGCCUGCCACUGAUCAAGCUCCUUUUUUUUUUUUUUGGUGCUGGGGAUCGAAUCCAGGGGCACUUUACCACUAAGUCACACCCCCCAGCACUUUUUAUUUUUUAUUUGAAAGAAGAUCUUGCUUAGUUGCUGAGGCUAGCCUUGAACUUGCAAUCCACCUGCUUCAGCCUCCCAGAUCGCCGGGAUUACAGGCGUGCGACACUGUGCCUGGCUCAAGCUGCAUUUUUGAAGAGCAUGUCCUAGAAGACUUACAUACAAGGCAACUUUCCAUCCAGGCACCAGACAUGAUCAC